rnacentral:rRNA from 1 species
AUUGAACGCUGGCGGCAGGCUUAACACAUGCAAGUCGAGCGAGCGGCGGACGGGUGAGUAAUGUCUGGGAAACUGCCUGAUGGAGGGGGAUAACUACUGGAAACGGUAGCUAAUACCGCAUACCCUCAGAUGUGCCCAGAUGGGAUUCGCUAGUAGGUGGGGUAAUGGCUCACCUAGGCGACGAUCCCUAGCUGGUCUGAGAGGAUGACCAGCCACACUAGAACUGAGACACGGUCCAGACCCCGACGGUAGGCAGCAGUGGGGAAGAUUGCACAAAGGGCGCAAGCCUGAUGCAGCCAUGCCGCGUGUGUGAAGAAGGCCUUCGGGUUGUAAAGCACUUUCAGCGAGGAGGCGUUACUCGCAGAAGAAGCACCGGCUAACGCCGUGCCAGCAGCCGCGUAAUUC